ensembl:piRNA 21ur-9980 ncRNA
UUUUUGACUUGUAUUUUGACA